CCUACGGGGGGCUGCAGUGGGGAAUAUUGGACAAUGGGGGGAACCCUGAUCCAGCCAUGCCGCGUGUGUGAAGAAGGCCCUCGGGUUGUAAAGCACUUUCAGUGAGGAAGAACGCCUGGUGGUUAAUACCCAUCAGGAAAGACAUCACUCACAGAAGAAGCACCGGCUAACUCCGUGCCAGCAGCCGCGGUAAUACGGAGGGUGCGAGCGUUAAUCGGAAUUACUGGGCGUAAAGCGCGCGUAGGUGGCUUGAUAAGCCGGUUGUGAAAGCCCCGGGCUCAACCUGGGAACGGCAUCCGGAACUGUCAAGCUAGAGUGCAGGAGAGGAAGGUAGAAUUCCCGGUGUAGCGGUGAAAUGCGUAGAGAUCGGGAGGAAUACCAGUGGCGAAGGCGGCCUUCUGGACUGACACUGACACUGAGGUGCGAAAGCGUGGGUAGCAAACAGGAUUAGAUACCCCCGUAGUC
rnacentral:rRNA from 1 species